CGCGCAGGCGGUUUCUCAAGUCAGUGGUGAAAGCCCGGAGCUCAACUCCGGAACUGCCAUUGAAACUGUGAGACUCGAGGACGAGAGAGGUGAGUGGAAUUCCCAGUGUAGAGGUGAAAUUCGUAGAUAUUGGGAAGAACACCGGUGGCGAAGGCGGCUCACUGGCUCGUUUCUGACGCUCAGGCGCGACAGCGUGGGGAUCAAACAGGAUUAGAUACCCUGGUAGUCCACGCCGUAAACGAUGAACGCUAGCCGUUGGAUAGCUUGCUAUUCAGUGGCGCAGCUAACGCAUUAAGCGUUCCGCCUGGGGAGUACGGCCGCAAGGUUGAA
rnacentral:rRNA from 1 species